CUACAUGCCAGGUACUGUGCUAAGACAUGAGAAUACAUAGUGACAGCUAAAAAUAACAGUCAGUCUUUCUUUCAGCACUCACCACGUGCCAGGCUAAAUGUUUUAUGUGUGUUACAACUGGAAGGAUUCACAACUGGGGGGCUUUGGGGAGAAAACGCAGAAAAAAAAAAAAAAAGAUUGGCAACAGUUGUUAGCUCAGGUGCCAAUCUUAAAACAAACAAAAAAAACCUAUACGAUACAGCAGACCAGCUCUCCCUCCCAGAGAGGUGUGCUCUGCGUGUCCCGGGAGAUUUGCGAGAGGGGCUCUGCUUGGGGAAGUGUGGAGGAAGCGUUUGAGCCGGGCCUUGCGAGAUUUCAUCUGCAGGGGACGCAGAUGGGUUCCAGGUUGAAGAAGCAGCAUUUGCAAAGGUGCAGAAGCCCAAGAGGAAGUAUGUGUCCCAGGUGGUGACGUCAAGGCUCACCAGGCGACGCCAUCAUGCCCACUGCCUUCGGGGGCCUCCCAUAUGGUGGGCAGCUCCCUGGAGUGGGUGGACUGGAGCCAGCCCGCCUGCACUUAGCCCACAUCUCCCACUCCUAGCUGGGUCCCCUGGCAGGUUUCUUAACCUUUCUGGGUCUCAGCUGCCUCAUUUGCUACAAGGGGAUGAUAAAAAGAGUGCCCAAGCUGAGGGAGGUUUGGAGCAGAGGUCAGCAAAUUUCUACUGUAAAGAGCCGGUGGUAAAUAUUUCCAGCUUGUGGCCCAGAAGGUCUUUGCCACAGCUACUCUGGAAGCAGUCAUAGAUAUAAAUGAAUGUGCAUGGCUGUGCUCCAAUACAACUUUACUUAUGGACACUGAAAUGUGAGUAUCAUAUAAUUUUCCUGUGUCAUGAAAUCUCAUCCUUUUGAUUUUUUUCAAACCAUUUAAAAAUGUGGGAAUGUUUCUUAGUUUGCAAGCUGUACACAAACAGGUGUGGGGCUGGAUCUGGCUGACCCCUGGUCUAGGGGAUUAAAUGAGUCAGAGCACAUGGCAAGUGCUCAAGAAAGUUUAGUUAUCACUCUCCCCCCACAGGUGAGCAAGCGCAGGGGCAGGGAGGCAG
rnacentral:lncRNA from 1 species